rnacentral:rRNA from 1 species
UACGUAGGGUGCAAGCGUUGUCCGGAAUUAUUGGGCGUAAAGAGCUUGUAGGCGGUUGUGCGCGUCUCUGUGAAAUUCGGGGCUCAACCCCGAACUUGCAGUGGUACGGGCAGACUAGAGUGUGGUAGGGGAGACUGGAAUUCCUGGUGUAGCGGUGAAAUGCGCAGAUAUCAGGAGGAACACCGAUGGCGAAGGCAGGUCUCUGGGCCACUACUGACGCUGAGAAGCGAAAGCUGGGGAGCGAACAG